ACCUGGAUAUAGCGUUACAAGAGAGUGGCGUUUUGGCUUUCCAGUCCCAGCAAGUGAGCGAGAGCCGAAUGGGUCCUGCGUCCGAGUGUCGGUGAGAGUGGAGUAGGAGAGGUAAGUGAAUGUGGUUGACCGGGUACUUCAGUGCACGGAAACAAGAUGUGACAUCUGAUUUGUGGACUUCCAUGAGCUCUGCGUCGGAACAAUUUAUCUGUGACUGUGAACAGCUUCAAGAAGUGAGGACCGCUUUUGUUUUGCAUUUCGUACUAUGUUGUAUGGAUGAGUAUGCACGAGAACGACAGCCGUAUGGGUGCUGUGCCAGAAUGUUAGAGACAGUGAAGAUGGAGCGAUGGUACGUUUGGAUCAAAGCGAUACGUGGGUAACUUCAGGAGUAAGGUCAUUGCUGACCACCCUGUGAAAUCGACGAAUCUACGCUUUGUAUUGUCUCCCAUGGGGGAGCUUUGCUCUCUGGGGCCCGUGUCAUCGUCGCAAGUACAUGCAGCAUUCACUCUUACUCAAUACAGUGCUACUGCGCCCUUGGUAGCUGCCGCGUAAGGCAAGAAACCGGGCAUUGUAACAGGAAGUCACUUUUGAGUAGUCACGACCAACUCGAAACAUGCCUGUAUCAAUUGUUCUGCCAGUGACCCAUUCACAACUGAGUUUCGCGGUGAUAGCCGCUUCAGCUGGUGGUGUUGGCAUGCCACAGAUCCGACUUCUUACGUUCGGUGACGGUGGCUUUUGUUGCCUGUUCUGGUCGCGAGAUGAUUCCAUUGAGCGGGAAGGCUAAAACGUCGCCAUGCACGCCUUCGUACGUUUACCGCUCCCGAAGAAGAUAAGCUCAAAGUAUUUUUGCUGAUGAGACACAUGGGCUCGAAUUCCUCUGUAAAUGUACUACGUCCUUAACCCAGAUCUGACAGCAGCAGAUGAUGCACUUGGAUGCAUCCAGAGAUUGUAUGAUACUUGCAAAUUCUCGCUUUCGCUACUAUUGCAACUUUAGAAGAACAUUUGUUUGUUUCGCCUCUUACGUGCCACCUUAAAUUUGAGAAUCGGCUCCUUGGUCUCCUUUUAAGAGAGUUGUCGCGCAAAAGAUGACCCACCUUGACUGCUUCUAUCCGAUAAAUGGAGUCAUAAUCCUAGGUACCGUAGUGUCUUCGUUUAUUUGAUUUGAGUUCCACAGCUCUGGAUCGCGGAUAAUUUGUAUAGAGACAAUAUCUACUUAGUACGCUGUGAGGAAAGGGAGUGGCCGUAACCUCGUUUUGCCCUGUGGCUACCUUGUCUCUUUCAUGUCGAUGAUACUGAUGUAUAUGCGUUGGAGAAGAUUCCACUAUGUGUGUUGGUGUAUAAAAUGACUAGUGCGCGGCCAGCAUAGCCUUUCGACAGAGUGGAAGCUCAGUUACAGCAGAAAAGCGAGUGAUGCGGAAAUCAGGUGAUUUUGGAACAUUUCGGCUUUGUCGGUUUUCAUUUCGCGCCCGUCGAAUCCACGAAGGGUGUGAGAGAUCCGCAGGUGCGGGCGUCCUACUCCCAAAAAACGUGUAUAUGCAACCUCAUUGAACAGGAUGUACGUUUUUGCCACUUCAAUAGACGGCAAUAAUCAAGCUUGCCUGCAGGGGCAAGAAGUAUUUCUCCAGAGAGCAUGCUGUAGAGCAGGUCAAGAACACGUAGACAUCCUAUAAGCCAGAACCGUGGAUCCGGUACUGAUAAACACUGAUGUGUGUAAACGGUGCUUCGAAAACUAUUCGGUCGAUUAACUUUCAGCAGGUAAGCGACAGGAACACAGUUCCACGAUGUUCUGCUAGUGGAUUGCUGCUUUCUCAUUUGUGUGACUGUCCUAAACUGGCGAAGAAUUAGUGUAUGAACUUUGAGCUGAAUAAACGAAUGCUAAUUCAAAAACUGCAGUAACCACGAGAUGUAACACCUGCCACUGUGUCGGCACCAAAGACAUGUGUAUUCGGUUCCGUCUCUCUAGCAGCUGGGGCUCGAGGAAUGUCUCAAUCGGUUGAAGACUGUAACAGCAACACAAAGAAUUCAGACUUGUGAGGAACCACAUACUGUCGCGGGGUGCGCUAGAAGCCCUUGUCAGUUGAUGCGAAUGGUACUCAGGAUACAGAACUCACAUAGGCCACGUCGUGCUUCAGCAAACACGACAGUGACCUGUCCGCACGUUCUCAGAAUUUCCACAUGUAAAGUGGAACUCGGCAAUGGCGCUCGGAGCCACUUUGGUCUGAUGUACAAGGUGCCCGCUGACAGUCGGAACACGAUCUCGUUGGCUUGCGCGGCAGGAUUUCCGAGUUCAGCAACCUUUUUUCAAGUCCUGUUGUGUAGUUCACGCUUCUGAGUGACGACUCCGCAUGGCUCUGUAGUGGCGUCACGAAUCGGUGUCGAACCGUACUUGUCUGGGUCGCCGUCGUAGAGCGGGGGUGCCUCGUUGUUUAGGCAAUGCGUCACCGGUACGAACGUAAACACAGGCGUACGAGAGGCCGAGAGAGGAGCAAAAACCCAGGAAGUCACGGAAUGUACGGAGCGCCACUUAUUCGUCAUGUAAGGGAGAUAUGGGAUUUUCGCCAGGCAGGAUUGCUGCUGUGGAGAGAGGCACGCAGUUAGUGUGCCUAGAACCCGGCCUGGCUUCUCUUGCUCCUCGCACACUCGAGAACGGUUCUGGAUUUGACAUUGGGGAAGAAAGUGCUCGAGCUGUACAUUGGAAACAGUGUAGUAGUUGUGCCUUUAAUCGUACUGUCUUCCUCAUUCGGACUUUCAAGUCCACUUCGGUUUCACCGCACACGGGUUAAACGUAUCAGGCUCAAUUUGCUCGGUCUUGAUGUGGGUACUUGUGUACUACGAGAUUGCGUUCCGCCGAUCUACAAAGGUGGAUGCUGACGAAUGCUGUUACGUGAUUCAGAUAAAGAAUGUGAGAGACCACAUUCGUAUGUGUGGCCAUGGCCGCGAAAAGGACGAACGCUCAUAGUCGUCUGAGUAGAUGGAUACACGAUGCCUCCACAGGAGUGCGAAGCUGAAGAAACACCACUCAUGUAGCAACGAAGUGCGCAAUGGCCUCGGGGGGUUGCUGCCCGCAUGACCCGAACACGACUGAACGAUCAGGUAUUCACUUAGAGCGGCCAAGGGAAACCAUAAGCAGCAUACUCUUUGUACGGUUCCAAAUGGUUCACGCUCUCGACGCCGAAAACGCAAAAACGCAGCUUUUGACGGUAUGAGUCGGGCCGGUUAGUCACGUUGAGAGGGAGCGGGAAUGCUGGUUGACAGCUGUGUCUCUUCCAGAACAGUUGAUGACACUCAGCUGGUCGUAUAUUUGCCAUGCAUCGCGUUUCCUUUGCGACUGGGUUUGCAUCUGCCGGAAGGUAAUGUCUACAUCGGUUCCAACUAGCCGUCGUUACUCGUCCACAAGUUUGCUGGUGCCUUUCGACGUGCGUCAAAGCGGAGAAACGUGCGAAAUUUGGCUUCUAACUCGUGGCGAAUAUGCAACUGUGGGUCUUGAGGUCAGUGGCAUGUUCUUCUACGUGCCUUAUGUUGGGUUUUUCAACCACGCAUGCCAGCGCUCUUCAUAAGACAUCGCUUGUGUGGUUGGGCGACGUCGCAGUACUGAUUAUCACUCUUGCAGCAGAAUAUACCAGAUGGCCUCUCGCUAUUUUUGUUUUCCGGAACUGGUUGAACGUGCACUUUCUAAUCGAUCUGAGAAGGUCAUACUGUCUGGUAUCAGUUCCGUUAACGCACCCAGCUGGAGUCUUCGUGGAGAUACGCAUUGUGACAUGCUGACGAAAUGUUGCUGAUACAUCAGUGUUGUGUAUGCGGUUACAUGUUCGUGAAAUCCGCCAUGAAAAGCAAUAUUAUAGUGUUGGCAGUCUCCGACGACUUGUCUUUGUGUUGGGUCUGACGAUACAAGCCACAAAUUUCGAUUCACCAAUAGAAUUCGCCUUUCAGUGGCUAAAUGCCAGCUACGAAGGUACUACGUCCUGCUGCAGGAGAAUGAUGAUCGUUACGAUUUCCUGUUGACCCGCGCGGAGGCACCUGCCGUCCUGGAAGCGGUGAUCUCUCAAUUAGACAAGCCGCCGCGCAGGCAACAGCAGAUGUGUUUAAACGCUCAUUAUCCUGACCGCUACUCGAGAUGGCGAAAACCGGUUAUGUAAUAAACGAAGCGGUUAUACUCUCUUCACGUCGACACGGCAGA
rnacentral:lncRNA from 1 species